GCCCUGGUGGUGGAAUUGGUAGACACGCAGGACUUAAAAUCCUGUGGCCCCAAAGGCCGUACCGGUUCGAUUCCGGUCCGGGGUA
rnacentral:tRNA from 1 species